GAGAUUAAAGUUUAUCGAGACCAAUAGAAUAAUAGCCCUGCUCUCGCUAUAACAAUAGGGGAUGUGUCACGCAUGCUGCACAUCGCUCUGCACAUGCAUGCAGCGCACCACAUGCCACGGACCUAGACGCAUACGUAUUAUACCGGUACCGGUACUUGUUUUUUCACAACAUGACAUCUGUUGAUUACAAACCGCUCUCGAUAACCUUGUCCUUGAUUAAGCCAAAAUAGCUCUUCUCGACAUUGUUUUUGUUUUGGAUCACGUUUUACUGUUUAAGUGUUUCUAUCUUCUGAAGUUCUCUUACGCGUUAUUAUUGACAUUUUUAAUUACGAGUUAAAACUACGAGAGUUUCAUCUUCUUCAGCUGGUACCGGUACCGGUAGUGGUCGUGCCGUAUUCGUUCACUGUCUGUGGUCACUCGCCCCCGGGCGCGGCCGUCCCAGCAGAGCCAGCCAAGCAGUUCGAGCGAAAGGGACAAGAACUCGGAGUCCACACUUUGUCUUUGUUUCUUCAAGUCAACGGGCAACUUGCUCAAUCGAAGAGGACUGGGGAAGUGUACAACAGGCCUGUCGUUUCCGUCCGGCGAAACAAAGAGAUGAUGGAGAACUCAGAAGUACCACAACUGGAUUGGGAAGGACAGUGAGAAGUCUCUGGAAGACAGGAGUUGUGUGUGUAUUUGAGUUUUGUCAGACGUGUAUCAAUCAGAUAUGAUUAUUUACGUCUGGGACCAACCUUUAACAUCACAAUCUGAAAGACGUGACCAGGGCUCGAACCUCUGCAUCAAUUUGUAACUUGAUUCCCCACAGCUUGGAUUACAGGCGCAAGCCACAACGCCCAGGACAGGAGAGCUGUCACAGAUUAUUUUACAAAUUUGUUAACCUGGGUACAUAGUUACAUACAUGUUGUUUACAUAAUUUUGAACAUGCACCACAGGCCACAAGUUAAAGGACAAGUUCAUCCCUACAAAAAGUUGAUUUGAAUAAAACGAGAAAAAUCCAACAAGCAUAACGCUGAAAAUUUCAUCAAAAUUGGAUGUAAAAUAAAAAAGUUAUGACUUUCUAAAGUUUAACUUAAUUUCACGAAAUAGUUAUAUGCACAUCCUGGCGGGUAUGCAAAUGAGGAGACCAUGACGUCAUCCACUCACUAUUUCUUUUGUAUUUUAUUAUAUGAAAUAUUCUAAUUUUCUUCUCAUUGUCAAGUGGUACAACGAUUAAUUCCUCCCUGAACAUGUGGAAUUAGCAUUGUUUAAUACUCCAUGGUUCAGUCAAGUUGGUCCCUAUUGUCAAAUCUAUAAAAAAAUGAAAUAUUGUAUAAUUCAAACAAUAAAAAACAAAAGAUAUAGUGAGUGAUGGACAUCAUCGACUGACUCACCUAGUUGUGCAUAUUACUGUUUUGUGAAAAAUAAGCGAAACUUUAAAUGUCAUAGCUUUCUUAUUUUACAUCUGAUUUCGAUGAAAUUUUCAGCACUAUGCUAGUUUGAUUUUUCUCUAUUGAUUCAAGUCAGCAUUUUCCUGGGGUGGACUUGACCUUUAAUGAAAAACUUACUCUUGUCUACAAGUCCAAUGCAAAUUUAAUCAUAAAUGUCAUUUGCCACCCAAUGAAAUAACCAAGUGUUAAAUUAUUCUAAGGUGAAUUGUGUAAUUGCUGUGGCUUUGAAAUUAAGAUAAUUUUUUCCUUGUGUAGCUUUGAAAUUAAGAUAAAUUUAUCCUUGUGUAGCCUUGAAAUUAAGAUAAAUUUAUCCUCUUGUAGCUUUGAAAUUAGGAUAAAUUUAUCCUCAUGUAGCCUUGAAAUAAAGAUAAAUUUAUCCUCAAAUAGCUUUAAAAUUAAGAUAAAUUUAUCCUCGUGUAGCCUUGAAAUUAAGAUAAAUUUAUCCUCGUGUAGCUUUAAAAUUAAGAUAAAUUUAUCCUCAUGUAGCCUUGAAAUUAGGAUAAAUUUAUCCUCGUGUAGCCUUGAAAUUAGGAUAAAUUUAUCCUCAUGAAGCCUUGAAUUAAGAUUAAUUUAUCCUCGUGUAGCCAUGAAAUUAGGAUAAAUUUAUCCUCGUGUAACUUUGAAAUUAAGAAAAAUUUAUCCUCGUGUAGCCUUGUAAUUAGGAUAAAUUUUAUCCUCAUGUAGCCUUGAAAUUAGGAUAAAUUUAUCCUCGUGUAGCCUUGAAAUUAGGAUAAAUUUAUUCUCGUGUAGCUUUGAAAUUAAGAUAAAUUUAUCCUCGUGUAGCUUUCAAAUUAAGAUAAAUUUAUCCUCAUGUAGCCUUGAAAUUAAGAUAAAUUUAUCCUCAUGUUGCCUUGAAGUUUGGAUAAAUUUAUCCUCAUGUAGACUGAAAUUAAGAUAAAUUUAUCCUCGUGUAGCCUUGAAAUUCGGAUAAAUUUAUCCUCAUGAAGCCUUGAAUUAAGAUUAAUUUAUCCUCGUGUAGCCAUGAAAUUAGGAUAAAUUUAUCCUCGUGUAACUUUGAAAUUAAGAUAAAUUUAUCCUCGUGUAGCCUUGAAAUUAGGAUAAAUUCAUCCUCAUGUAGCCUUGAAAUUAGGAUAAAUUUAUCCUCGUGUAGCCUUGAAAUUAGGAUAAAUUUAUCCUCGUGUAGCUUUGAAAUUAAGAUAAAUUUAUCCUCAUGUAGCCUUGAAAUUAGGAUAAAUUUAUCCUCGUGUAGCCUUGAAAUUAGGAUAAAUUUAUCCUCGUGUAGCUUUGAAAUUAAGAUAAAUUUAUCCUCAUGUAGCUUUCAAAUUAAGAUAAAUUUAUCCUCAUGUAGCCUUGAAAUUAAGAUAAAUUUAUCCUCAUGUUGCCUUGAAGUUUGGAUAAAUUUAUCCUCAUGUAGACUGAAAUUAAGAUAAAUUUAUCCUCGUGUAGCCUUGAAAUUAGGAUAAAUUUAUCCUCAUGAAGCCUUGAAUUAAGAUUAAUUUAUCCUCGUGUAGCCAUGAAAUUAGGAUAAAUUUAUCCUCGUGUAACUUUGAAAUUAAGAUACAUUUAUCCUCGUGUAGCCUUGAAAUUAGGAUAAAUUUAUCCUCAUGUAGCCUUGAAAUUAGGAUAAAUUUAUCCUCGUGUAGCCUUGAAAUUAGGAUAAAUUUAUCCUCGUGUAGCUUUGAAAUUAAGAUAAAUUUAUCCUCAUGUAGCCUUGAAAUUAAGAUAAAUUUAUCCUCAUGUUGCCUUGAAGUUAGGAUAAAUUUAUCCUCAUGUAGACUGAAAUUCAGAUAAAUUUAUCCUCAUGUAGUCUUGAAAUUAAGAUAAAUUUAUCCUCGUGUAGCCUUGAAAUUAAGAUGAAUUUAUCCUCGUGUAGCCUUGAAAUUAGGAUAAAUUUAUCCUCAUGUAGCCUUGAAGUUAAGAUAAAUUUAUCCUCAUGUAGCUUUGAAACGAAGAUAAAUUUAUCCUCAUGUAGCCUUGAAAUUAAGAUAAAUUUAUCCUCGUGUAUCUUUGAAGUUAAGAUAAAUUUAUCCUCGCGUAGCCUUGAAAUUAGGAUAAAUUUAUCCUCGUGAAGCUUUGAAAUUAAGAUAAAUUUAUCCUCAUGUAGCUUUGAAACGAAGAUAAAUUUAUCCUCAUGUAGCUUUGCAAUUAGGAUAAAUUUAUCCUCGUGUAUUCUUGAAAUUAGGAUGAAUUUAUCCUCAUGAAGCUUUCAAAUUAAGAUAAAUUUAUAUUCGUGUAUCCUUGAAAUUAAGAUAAAUUUAUCCUCGUGUAGCCUUGAAAUUAGGAUAAAUUUAUCCUCGUGAAGCUUUGAAAUUAAGAUAAAUUUAUCCUCAUGUAGCUUUGAAAUUAAGAUAAAUUUAUCCUCAUGUAGCCUUGAAAUUAAGAUAAAUUUAUCCUCGUGUAGCUUUGAAAUUAAGAUAAAUUUAUCCUCGCGUAGCCUUGAAAUUAGGAUAAAUUUAUCCUCGUGAAGCUUUGAAAUUAAGAUAAAUUUAUCCUCGUGUAGCUUUGAAACGAAGAUAAAUUUAUCCUCAUGUAGCUUUGAAAUUAGGAUAAAUUUAUCCUUAUGAAGCCUUGAAAUUAAGAUAAAUUUAUCCUUGUGUAUCCUUGAAAUUAAGAUAAAUUUAUCCUCGUGCAGCCUUGAAAUUAGGAUAAAUUUAUCCUCGUUUAGCCUUGAAAUUAGGAUAAAUUUAUCCUCGUGUAGCCUUGAAAUUAGGAUAAAUUUAUCCUCCUGUAGUAUUAGCAGGAUGAACUAAUCCUUAUAAUUGUAAUAGAUUUGUAUGAUAUAUUUAUUUGAUCUGUUAUUCAUAUUAAAUGGUUGUAUUAAUUGAAA